ACUAUUGGAAAUAUUAAUUGAAUACUCUUUAGCUGUACAUUAUCUCUAUGCCUCAGAAGUCAUAAGAAACGAACAGUGUUUGUUUUCUUUUUCCCGUUAUGGAAAAGAAUUGAUGCUGUAAGUAAAAGAGAAUACUUGCUAUAAUCAUCAAUUUUAACAUAGGUCCAUACUGCUCGAGUUGGUUUCUUUCUUCUGUACGUAGAUAUUUUUUUUUUCUAACUCAAAAUUUAAAAAAUGGCUGUUGGAAUCCGUUAGAGAGUAAUUAAAUUGUGGGUUUGUUCUUGUUUCUGGUAUUGCCUGUUGUUUUAAGUCUCCUGUCCUCGUACAAAUUGAGAAGAUUUCCAGCUUCAAUAAUGGAGUCCAGUGAACCAGAGUUGCCUCCUGGCUUUAGUUGCAAAUUAAUAAGAGAAGUAGCUGCCGCUGAAGCAUCUCCAACUGCUGUUUUACGGCUAAGGAAGCCCAAAGUACUGCCUUGAGUACAAGCUCUAGUUCUCAAGAGGAGAGCCUCAAGAAACAACGCAAGAGUCAAGAAAUGUUGGUGGCAAAUGACAUUGCAGGGCAAAAGAGAAAAAACAAAACAAUCAAGUUAGAGAAUCAAGAAGAAGAUAAUAUGGAAACGAUGAAUGCUGAACUGCCUGAGGUUGAAGAUACCAUAAAAGAGCAGCUGACCAGUAAAUCAGACAAGAAUAAACCUAAGACUGCUGAUAAAACAGCUUCAUCACCUACACUGAAAAUAGGGAAGAGGGCUCCUAAGAAAGUCAGUGAUAUUCCAUCAACUCGGCAGAAAAAAGGAGUAUGCUGUGAUCUCCUUUCUACUCUUUCUGGUCCUCCCAACCUGACAUGACCGGACUGUCGGCAGAAAUGGUUCAAGGCUAUACAAUGGCAAUUCCUACAGUUCAAAAUGCAUUAAUAAAGUUCCUAACAGCAUCGAGUCCAGAGAAUGUCGAAGCAAUGGUAACGCAAGCCAAUAAUGCCUUCUCAUCUCUUAAAGGCCUUAAUGCUGAUUACCUAUCAUUUACAAUUCCGUUAGCUCCUAUAUACUUCGAUGCUCGGAAUUAUCUACUACAGAGAAGGAGCUGGAAGAUAACAUUCAAGAUGUGAUAUUGAUAUCUUGCCAUGAAAAGCUCGUUAAACAAUCAGCAGAGGCAACACGGGUUGUUUCUGAUAUUGAGGUUGAUCUGAUAAAGGCGAAGAAGUACCUUGCUCCUCUUGAAGCCCGUGUUCAAGACACAAGAGAAUUGUUAGACAAGCUUGAGGUAGAACUUCGAGAAAGGAAAACAGAUUUGGCUAAUCUAGAAGCUGAAAAGGCUCAACAGAUGGAAGCAAUGGCUGCAGUUGAUGUCAAGAUACAGGCCAUUGAGCUUGAGGCAGCAGAAGCUCGGAGCUCUCUCAGGGAUAUUCUUAGUCGCUGAGAGGCAGCUAGAGCUGCUAUGAAAGAGAGUCGAGCUAUAUUAAAAGCUCAACUAAAAACUAUCUGAAUCUUGAUUUCUACAUAGAUGUGUGAGCACUGGCAAUUACAGAUGUGCUGAACCACAACUUACCUUGUUUUCUUUUCUUUUUUCUUUUAUGAAUUUAAAAACUGCUUGCCUAAACUUAAUUUGAUAUCUGAUUUUUCAAACAACAAA